GAUGAACGCUGGCGGCGUGCCUAAUACAUGCAAGUCGAGCGAAUGGAUUAAGAGCUUGCUCUUAUGAAGUUAGCGGCGGACGGGUGAGUAACACGUGGGUAACCUGCCCAUAAGACUGGGAUAACUCCGGGAAACCGGGGCUAAUACCGGAUAACAUUUUGAACCGCAUGGUUCGAAAUUGAAAGGCGGCUUCGGCUGUCACUUAUGGAUGGACCCGCGUCGCAUUAGCUAGUUGGUGAGGUAACGGCUCACCAAGGCAACGAUGCGUAGCCGACCUGGGAGGGUGAUCGGCAAAACUGGGACUGGGACACGGCCCAGACUCCUACGGGAGGCAGCAGUAGGGAAUCUUCCGCAAUGGACGAAAGUCUGACGGAGCAACGCCGCGUGAGUGAUGAAGGCUUUCGGGUCGUAAAACUCUGUUGUUAGGGAAGAACAAGUGCUAGUUGAAUAAGCUGGCACCUUGACGGUACCUAACCAGAAAGCCACGGCUAACUACGUGCCAGCCGCCGCCGUAA
rnacentral:rRNA from 1 species